GAUCAUGGCUCAGAAUGAACGUUGGCGGCGUGGAUUAGGCAUGCAAGUCGAGCGAGAAUUUGCGAUUGGAAGCUUCGGCCGAAGAAAGUGAAGGAAAGCGGCAAACGGCGUAGUAAGGCGUAGGUACGUACCCUCGGGUCGGGAAUAGCCAUGGGAAACUGUGGGUAAUGCCCGAUAAUCUCUGCGGAGCAAAGGUGUGAUUCCGCCGGAGGAGCGGCUUACGUGAUAUUAGCUAGUUGGUGGGGUAAUGGCCUACCAAGGCAACGAUGUCUAGGGGGUGUGAGAGCAUGGCCCCCACGACCGGAACUGAGACACUGUCCGGACACCUACGGGUGGCUGCAGUCGAGAAUCUUCCGCAAUGGGCGAAAGCCUGACGGAGCGACGCCGCGUGGUGGAUGAAGGCCCUUGGGUUGUAAACACCUGUCAGAGGGGAUGAAAUCAUGGUUGGCAAUCCUUCCAUGUUGACAGAGCCUCAGAGGAAGCACGGGCUAAGUACGUG
rnacentral:rRNA from 1 species